CUCCUUUCCCUGUGGUGUACACUGCUCUAUGCCCAGUUUUCUCAACAUACCUGGAAAGAAUAAUAUACAAGUUCAUGUUCCAUCAGCUUUGAUACCACUGAUU